rnacentral:rRNA from 1 species
GCCACUGCUAUUGGGGUUCGGCUAAGCCAUGCGAGUGGAGGGCGUCCCGCAAGGGAUGGCCCCGCAGACGGCUCAGUAACACGUCGUCAACCCACCUUAGGGUGGGGGACAACCUCGGGAAACUGAGGAUAAUCCCCGAUAGACGGGAAACGCUGGAAUGCCUUCCCGUCCAAAGCUCAGGCGCCCUAGGAUGGGACUGCGACCCAUCAGGCUGUUGGUGGUGUGACG